AUGGCCUACAGCACUGGCCUCCAUCUCCGGUUCCUGGAUCAGCAGUAUCAGCGCCACCUAGAAAGCAUUAAGGUCCCCAAAGCCACCUGGUGCAGAGCAGACCCUGGUGCGAGUCACUCCCAACUGGCUGGUCUCUUGACUGGAGGGCCGCAUGCUCCUGAGUCUUCAUCAAUGAUCACUGGGUGCAGAGAUAUCACCCUGGCUGAUACACUCAGAGGAAUGAAGCAAAAGAGAGAACAGAUGACUCACUGCAAAAAGGGGUUUGCUCGUGAAUCGCCUUGUAGGAGGCAGCGGAGGGAGGCCUCAUGAGUGCCCCAUUUACUAAUCUCUGCAUUCACCAAAUCUCAGCUGAGCUCGUACUAUGUGCCAGAACGGAGCAAGGAGUUGGGAUGCAAUAGGACGUGGAAUCGGGUGUGCUCCCUGCCUUCAGGGAUCUUGUGCUCCAGCAAACAGAACAGAGGUCAGCCAGGUAAGGAUCCCAAAUUAUGAAGCUGUCAUGGAGACGUGUUACUGGAAGCUAUGGGACCGACGAACAGAACCCCAUCUUCUACUGAAGGU
rnacentral:lncRNA from 1 species